GAAGAUCCUCAAGUGCACCGACGAUGGUCCGGUUCCUUGAUUUUUUACUAGGUUUUCUGCGUCCUGUUUUCGUCUGCCGGGAAUGAUCCCGUAUCGCCGACGAGUGACCUUCCUGAGUUCUCGAAGUUUGGUCGGCCCAUGAUCGUAACUAUUUCCCUUUCGACAAGUAUUUCUUGAUAAACUGCCGAAAGCUCGGCUCCCUCGAUGUUCCUGCUGGCAUGAUGGCCUUUGCUUCACUGCUUGCCAUUGCGCAUUGAUUAGUUGGAGGUGCGAGUACCUGCAAAGAGGGCGAAGAGCUUGAAAUUGAUGGAGCAGAGGCGGUACUCGGCCACCUUUUCUCCAUCGGGGCAGCAACUUGUGGUUUUCCCCAGUCCGCCUUAGGCUGUAUUUUUCUCAAAGACUGCAAAUUCUUAUUGUUAUGCCUAGUUCUGGUGAGGAAAAUGCUAUAGAUAACUAUGCCAUCAUCUCGUAACAGAUUAAAGUGUUUAGCUGCUUUACAGCUCUCAUCCAAUUGUCCAUAUGAAGUACAAAAAUAUCAACAGACAAAAGUGAGUACGUUUUUUGUUAUAUUAUGCAUAUUCUGGUAAAUGAUUGUCACUAUGUCUCCUUUGACCACACAAGGUGUCAUCCGUCAGGUUUCUUCACCAAAAAUUAGAAAGUUUUAUGCUUUAUUGACAGGCUACAUUGCACAUACAUGGUCCAACCAAUGUCUCAGUUGUAGGAAAUUUUGGUUUACGAGUAACAUUUUGAUCCUUGUGUUAUUUGUGGUCAAUACUCUGUAUCUACAGCCAUGUUAACAUGUGGUGCCUUGGAUUGUUUUCUACACUUUCCUCCACAUUAUGUUCUUUCAUAGUCAGGUUGUGUCAAUCAGACUGAUAAGAUGAUGCUAUUGCAGGUUCAUUUACUUGUUUAUUGGUGUUGGAGUUACUCUGUUUGUCAUAUCAUGCUUUGGCUGCAUCGCAGCAGUCACAAGAAAUGGAUGUUGCCUGUCUUUUGUAUCCCUGAAGAUUUGCUGAUUUCUACAAUUUAUCUUAGAUUUCUUACCUGUAAAUUCUAAGUGCUAUAAUUAUUUACUUUCAUUUCAUUCAAGGCAUAUCUGACUCCUCAUUCUUCAUGUGGUUCUGCCAUUGCUUGAAGUAUUUUUUUCGCCUUCUUGUUUCAUUUGAUCAAACAUAAGUGAAGGCUUGAAAACAAUGGAGGUUUUCUAUAUUUCUUUGUGUAGUUUAUGAAAUCUAAUACUGAGCAAAAAAAACAUUAUGUCCAGAUCAAUCUCAUCAUGACUAAGUUCAACUUAUUCACACUUGAAUCCACUAUUCUUGGCAUAAUUUCUUUCCGUGCCGUUCUAAGUGAUAAGCUGAUGCUGAAAAUGCUUCUAACAUAAAACUAUGCAAGUUCUAGAAUUUAUAUUUGUGUCUAGUUGUCAGUUUGAUGCUUUACUUAACCUAGAUAGUAUUCUUUCUUGGUGACCUUGUUGAUUCUGGUCGAGUUAGUUAGGUGUUGCAGCUUUCAUAUUGUUUGAUCACAGCUGGAAGGAUGUGAGUCUUGUUCUAACCUCUCUAAUUUCUGUGCUGGUUCUCCUUUCAAGCUAGUUUUGACAUGUAGUUCAUUUGCAGUAUAUUCCAGCUGUUGUAACUGGAAAUUUUGACAUGAUGGAUGAUUUUUUGGAGUAUCACUUGAAGAUAGCAAAAUGGGUAGCACUUGGUGCGCUGUUGUUUUGGAGUAGCUCCAACAAUAAAAGUACGAAAGCAGUGAUGAUGAAUAUAAUGCUCCGAGAUAUGACAUCCGGGAACCAUUGAUCAUUGGGCAAGGAGUUCCAGCAACUGGAGUACCUGUACACAGUGCUCUUGAUCAUCAUCCAAACAGUACUGUUGCAUAUAUCCAAUGGCUGAGGGAAAAGUACGGUCUUGAUCCCUCUAUGUUCACCUACAAUUCAUCAGGCCCAGGCAGAAAUCAGCAAGCCAUGGUAGCUCCUGCUGAAGAAAGCGGUUGUUGUGCCAUGUUAUGAAAUUUUGAGUUGUCGGUGGACUAUGAACCUUGCUUUCCGCUAGUAAUUUGUGAUGUUUUGAAGGUCUUUUUUCUUCUCUUUUUUUUUUUUUUUUUUCACUUGUAUGGUUUAUAUAAGCAAAGACUGUUGUUGUCUAUUUACCAUCAGAAUUAUGCUGCAUGAAGAUUGUACAUCUCUCAAUUGUUUUCAGGGUGAACUAAUGAAGUAGUUACUAAAUGUCAA